rnacentral:siRNA from 1 species
GAGCAAUAUUGCCACGAAGAUGGA